CGACCAUCUCCCGCAAAUGUGAAGAUGACAAAGAUUUCAUGAAGAAACUGUUUCGAAUUUUAGUUUUGACCUUGUGCUUUCACCACCAUAACUAAAACUUCAGUGAUUUUACAGUAUGCAGCUUUGGCCUUGGAAUGAUAAAGUCAUUUUAUAAUUAAAUAAAUAAAUAAAUAAAAACGUUGUCGUCGACAGGCUCAAGGAUUCCUGGCUUGACCAAAAGGAAAUACGGAAAGAAGUGAAAAUGUGCUGUUUCGGUCUUGAGGAUAGGAUUACUAAUGCAACAACAAUAAAGAAACAAGACGAUAUGAAGCUCUGUGUUACAGGUUAAAGAAGAUGAAAUGUUUUCUAAGCAGCUUCCGCUUUUUCUUUCCUUGGAUCGCUCUUCAAUUGUUUGUUAACUUGUCAGGUAAGACUAAAACAAGAAAU